rnacentral:lncRNA from 1 species
GCUCUGCCAAUGGCUUCAAUAUGAUAGUUGCUUGGCAUGAGAACAUUUUCAACAUGUUACUUCAAUUUUCCUCCAAAUAAAACUAAAGUCGUAUAACCACUUCCUAAAAAUCUAAUAAAAGAUGAGUCGAUAUCAUCUGGCUAGUAUCCAUUGUCUUUGCGGUAGUAUCAUAGAAAACUAAAUUAAUAUUACUUUCAAGGUAAACUGCUACAGAUAGGAUAAAGCGAAGAUAAGAUAAAAUAUAUUAAUAAAUUGGAUUGUGAAGGAUCCUACAAAGUAUAAUUUGACUUAUUUAUACUAAAUAUAAUAAUUGCCAACUCUAAUGAUUGUUAUUCAUAGUUGGCCUCUAUUUUUGGUGCUUUUAAUAAUUAAUGAUAUUUACCUUUUACUACUCACAUUCAUUAGCAUGGUCACUCUGCACCACUUAUGAAAUCGAUGAUCAUCUCUUAUCGGCCUUGGCUC